CCCCUCUCAGGAACACACCUGGAGGGUUUCCAGUACUCUACCAGUCUCGACUACAGGAGGGAGAGUCAAGCAGAGGCAUAUCCAUUCCAAUCCUUGCUUGGGCAGUGGCUAGUGAAUGGAAAGCAAUCUGCAGCAAGU